rnacentral:rRNA from 1 species
GAUGAACGCUGGCGGCGUGCCUAAUACAUGCAAGUCGAGCGAACAGACGAGGAGCUUGCUCCUCUGACGUUAGCGGCGGACGGGUGAGUAACACGUGGAUAACCUACCUAUAAGACUGGGAUAACUUCGGGAAACCGGAGCUAAUACCGGAUAAUAUAUUGAACCGCAUGGUUCAAUAGUGAAAGACGGUUUUGCUGUCACUUAUAGAUGGAUCCGCGCCGCAUUAGCUAGUUGGUAAGGUAACGGCUUACCAAGGCAACGAUGCGUAGCCGACCUGAGAGGGUGAUCGGCCACACUGGAACUGAGACACGGUCCAGACUCCUACGGGUGGCAGCAGUAGGGAAUCUUCCGCAAUGGGCGAAAGCCUGACGGAGCAAUGCCGCGUGAGUGAUGAAGGUCUUCGGAUCGUAAAACUCUGUUAUUAGGGAAGAACAAAUGUGUAAGUAACUAUGCACGUCUUGACGGUACCUAAUCAGAAAGCCACGGCUAACUACGUG